UGCCGCGUGCAGGAAGACUGCCCUAUGGGUUGUAAACUGCUUUUGUACGGGAAGAAACACCCCCACGUGUGGGGGCUUGACGGUACCGUAAGAAUAAGCAUCGGCUAACUCCGUGCCAGCAGCCGCGGUAAUACGGAGGAUGCAAGCGUUAUCCGGAAUCAUUGGGUUUAAAGGGUCCGUAGGCGGGUGAUUAAGUCAGGGGUGAAAGUCUGCAGCUCAACUGUAGAACUGCCCUUGAUACUGGUUAUCUUGAAUCGUUGUGAAGUGGCUAGAAUAUGUAGUGUAGCGGUGAAAUGCAUAGAUAUUACAUAGAAUACCGAUUGCGAGAGGCAGGUCACUAACGACGUAUUGACGCUGAGGGACGAAAGCGUGGGGAGCGAACAGGAUUAGAUACCCUGGUAGUCCACGCCGUAAACGAUGGAUACUAG
rnacentral:rRNA from 1 species